rnacentral:sRNA from 2 species
GUACCAUCUCAAAUGGCCUGGCAGCGGAUCCCCCCUCACCUUGAAAGUGGGGAUGUGGCACUUGAAAGCAAUAAAUAUGUUCAAGGUCCACCGGCAUAGGUUCUUUCUACCGCGGCUGCCUAUGGGUCUCCUCGUUGCUCCCUUCGGUAAUUCGGGAGUCGAGCAGUGGUAUAAAGCUGCUACUUGUACAGGAUGAUAUCUCCAGUUUUGAAUGAAGUCAGCUUCUGCCACAAUAUUCACUAAAAUAAAUAACGCCCUUUAAGUUCUGAAGCCAAUUGCAGAAUCAAACCAAAAGAGACAGCGUCUGGACUAUCGACCAUGGGCGAAAUAGCUGAAGUCCCCAAACAGGCGAAGGCCAUUGUCUAUGAUAACCCGGGAACCAUUUCAACGAAGGUCGUGACUGUGGAUGUGCCCGAGCCUGGUCCUGGAGAAGUCUUGAUUAAUCUGACUCACUCUGGCGUUUGUCACUCAGAUUAUGGCAUCAUGACUAAUAGGUGGAAAAACCUCCCGGCUCCAACAGCAGCUGGUCAAGUUGGUGGCCAUGAGGGUGUUGGAAAGGUCGUCAAACUCGGUCCGGGUACAGAAAGCUCGGGAGUAGAGCUAGGAGCUCGCGUGGGCGUCAAAUGGCUGCAAUAUGCUUGCGGCAACUGUGAACCUUGUGGCGCGGGUGUAGAUGCCUGCUGUGUGAAAUCGAAAGUUUCUGGAUACUACACUCCUGGCACAUUCCAGCAAUACGUUACGUCGCCAGCAAGCUAUGUGACUCCGAUUCCAGACUCACUUCCCUCCGACCUGGCUGCCCCUUUACUCUGCGCCGGGGUGACCGUUUAUUCAGCCCUUAAGCGCAGUCAAGCCAGGCCGGGAGAUUGGGUCAUUAUUUCAGGUGCCGGAGGUGGCCUAGGCCAUAUUGCAACCCAGCUAGGCAGCAGGGGCCUAGGACACCGUAUUAUCGGUAUCGACCACGGCAGCAAGAGAGAUAUCGUCCUUGAAUCUGGCGCGGAACACUUUAUCGACAUCACGCAGUUCACGGACAACGAGCCCAAAGGCGGCAAGUUGGCGGAACACGUCCAGUCCCUGACCGGUGGCCAUGGCGCCCAUGCCGUUAUUGUCUGUACAUCCUCGAACGCUGCGUAUGCGCAGGGGAUGUAUUUGCUCCGCAUGAACGGUGUGCUAGUCUGUGUUGGAAUACCAGAGAACGUGCCCCUCCCGAUUGGGUCGUCGUUCCCUGCGCACCUUAUCGGGAAACAGCUUUCCAUCGUAGGGUCUGCAGUGGGAACUAAGCGGGAGUCAAUUGAGACUAUGGAAUUCGGGGCGCGGGGGAUUAUCCAAGUGCAUUUCCGAACGGAGAAAAUGGAUGCACUAACGGACGUAUUCAAGGAAAUGGAAAGGGGGG